GUGGGGAAUAUUGGACAAUGGGCGAAAGCCUGAUCCAGCCAUGCCGCGUGUGUGAAGAAGGUCUUCGGAUUGUAAAGCACUUUAAGUUGGGAGGAAGGGCAGUAAGUUAAUACCUUGCUGUUUUGACGUUACCAACAGAAUAAGCACCGGCUAACUUCGUGCCAGCAGCCGCGGUAAUACGAAGGGUGCAAGCGUUAAUCGGAAUUACUGGGCGUAAAGCGCGCGUAGGUGGUUCAGCAAGUUGAAGGUGAAAUCCCCGGGCUCAACCUGGGAACUGCCUCCAAAACUACUGGGCUAGAGUACGGUAGAGGGUAGUGGAAUUUCCUGUGUAGCGGUGAAAUGCGUAGAUAUAGGAAGGAACACCAGUGGCGAAGGCGACUACCUGGACUGAUACUGACACUGAGGUGCGAAAGCGUGGGGAGCAAACAGGAUUAGAUACCCUUGUAGUCC
rnacentral:rRNA from 1 species